UGGGGAAUUUUGGACAAUGGGGGAAACCCUGAUCCAGCCAUUCCGCGUGAGUGAGAAGGCCUUCGGGUUGUAAAGCUCUUUCGGCAGGAACGAAACGGUGGUUACUAAUACUAGCCACUACUGACGGUACCUGAAGAAGAAGCACCGGCUAACUACGUG
rnacentral:rRNA from 1 species